CGGGGUCACAUGGAGUAGCGAAAGCGAAAGACGACCCACGCAAAAGGAGAAAUGCUUCCCUGGGUGUAAAUCCCUAAAACUGCCCUCUGAUGCCCUUGCACGGACGCUGCUUGCAUGGCGGGGCGAUAUGCCUACCCCCGUUUCAUGUGCCGGGGCAAAGCAGAUUAGACGGCAUCCUACACCACAUCUGUACGGAGGUGCGAAUAACUAUAUGACAAGCG
rnacentral:sRNA from 12 species